GCGAACGCUGGCGGCAGGCCUAACACAUGCAAGUCGAACGAACUCUUCGGAGUUAGUGGCGGACGGGUGAGUAACACGUGGGAACGUGCCUUUUGGUUCGGAAUAACUCAGGGAAACUUGUGCUAAUACCGAAUGUGCCCUUCGGGGGAAAGAUUUAUCGCCAUUAGAGCGGCCCGCGUCUGAUUAGCUAGUUGGUGAGGUAAAGGCUCACCAAGGCGACGAUCAGUAGCUG
rnacentral:rRNA from 1 species